rnacentral:rRNA from 2 species
CAGCCGCCGCGGUAAAACCAGCACCUCAAGUGGUCAGGGUGAUUAUUGGGCCUAAAGCAUCCGUAGCCUGCUUCGUUAGUUUUCGGUUAAAUCCAUACGCUUAACGUAUGGGCUGCCGGGAAUACUGCAAAGCUAGGGAGUGGGAGAGGUAGACGGUACUCGGUAGGAAGGGGUAAAAUCCUUUGAUCUAUUGAUGACCACCUGUGGCGAAGGCGGUCUACCAGAACACGUCCGACGGUGAGGGAUGAAAGCUGGGGGAGCAAACCGGAUUAGAUACCCGGGUAGUCCCAGCUGUAAACUAUGCAAACUCAGUGAUGCAUUGGCUUGUGGCCAAUGCAGUGCUGCAGGGAAGCCGUUAAGUUUGCCGCCUGGGAAGUACGUACGCAAGUAUGAAACUUAUAGGAAUUGGCGGGGGUGCAC